CUCAAUUGGAAAGAGGAGUAGGCGGACGGGUAGAGUAACACGUGGGUAACCUACCCAUCAGAGGGGGAUAACACUUGGAAACAGGUGCUAAUACCGCAUAACAGUUUAUGCCGCAUGGCAUAAGAGUGAAAGGCGCUUUCGGGUGUCGCUGAUGGAUGGACCCGCGGUGCAUUAGCUAGUUGGUGAGGUAACGGCUCACCAAGGCCACGAUGCAUAGCCGACCUGAGAGGGUGAUCGGCCACACUGGGACUGAGACACGGCCCAGACUCCUACGGGAGGCAGCAGUAGGGAAUCUUCGGCAAUGGACGAAAGUCUGACCGAGCAACGCCGCGUGAGUGAAGAAGGUUUUCGGAUCGUAAAACUCUGUUGUUAGAGAAGAACAAGGACGUUAGUAACUGAACGUCUCCUGACGGUAUCUAACCAGAAAGCCACGGCUAACUACGUGCCAGCAGCCGCGGUAAUACGUAGGUGGCAAGCGUUGUCCGGAUUUAUUGGGCGUAAAGCGAGCGCAGGCGGUUUCUUAAGUCUGAUGUGAAAGCCCCCGGCUCAACCGGGGAGGGUCAUUGGAAACUGGGAGACUUGAGUGCAGAAGAGGAGAGUGGAAUUCCAUGUGUAGCGGUGAAAUGCGUAGAUAUAUGGAGGAACACCAGUGGCGAAGGCGGCUCUCUGGUCUGUAACUGACGCUGAGGCUCGAAAGCGUGGGGAGCAA
rnacentral:rRNA from 1 species